rnacentral:tRNA from 1 species
GAGAAGUUGACAAGAUCUGCUAACUCUUUAAUCUGGUACUAAAUUAUCCAGCCUUCUCU